rnacentral:rRNA from 1 species
CAGUAGCCGCGGUAAUACGUAGGGUGCGAGCGUUAAUCGGAAUUACUGGGCGUAAAGCGUGCGCAGGCGGUUGUGUAAGACAGGUGUGAAAUCCCCGGGCUUAACCUGGGAACUGCGCUUGUGACUGUAUAGCUAGAGUACGGCAGAGGGGGAUGGAAUUCCGCGUGUAGCAGUGAAAUGCGUAGAUAUGCGGAGGAACACCGAUGGCGAAGGCAAUCCCCUGGGCCUGUACUGACGCUCAUGCACGAAAGCGUGGGGAGCAAACAGGAUUAGAUACCCGCGUAGUCCCUGUCUCUUAUAC